rnacentral:ncRNA from 1 species
CAAAGGCAUGGUCCCGACCUUAUUAUCAGCUUUAACUCAACUUACACAUGCAAGUCUCCGCAACCCAGUGAAUAUGCCCUCAAUCCCCCAGCCCGGGGACGAGGAGCGGGCAUCAGGCACAGAUAUUAGCCCAAGACGCCUAGCCAAGCCACACCCCCAAGGGAAUUCAGCAGUGAUAAACAUUAAGCCAUAAGUGAAAACUUGACUCAGUUAGUGUUAAAAGGGCCGGUAAAACUCGUGCCAGCCACCGCGGUUAGACGAGAGGCCCUAGUUGAUAUUAUAACGGCGUAAAGGGUGGUUAAGGACAAACAAAUAAAUAAAGUCAAAUGGCCCCUUGGCCGUCAUACGCUUCUAGGCAUCCGAAGCCCUAACACGAAAGUAACUUUAACAAGUAUACCUGACCCCACGAAAACUGAGAAACAAACUGGGAUUAGAUACCCCACUAUGCUCAGCCGUAAACUUAGACAUCCAACUACAAUUAGAUGUCCGCCAGGGUACUACGAGCAUUAGCUUAAAACCCAAAGGACCUGACGGUGUCUCAGACCCCCCUAGAGGAGCCUGUUCUAGAACCGAUAACCCCCGUUCAACCUCACCACUUCUAGUCACCCCAGCCUAUAUACCGCCGUCGUCAGCUUACCCUGUGAAGGUAAUAAAAGUAAGCAAAAUGGGCACAGCCCAAAACGUCAGGUCGAGGUGUAGCGCAUGAAGUGGGAAGAAAUGGGCUACAUUUUCUAAUCAUAGAACAUCACGAACAUGCACCAUGAAACAGUGCUUAAAGGAGGAUUUAGUAGUAAAAAGGAAAUAGAGUGUCCAUUUGAACCCGGCUCUGAGACGCGUACACACCGCCCGUCACUCUCCCCUGUCAAAACGCAUUAAAAAUACUUAAUACAACAGCACCGACGAGGGGAGGCAAGUCGUAACACGGUAAGUGUACCGGAAGGUGCACUUGGAUCAAACC